GACAGAGGGGGCGAGCGUUGUCCGGAGUCACUGGGCGUAAAGGGUACGUAGGCGGCCGGUCAAGUCUGGGGUCAAAGGCCACAGCUCAACUGUGGGAAGGCCCUGGAAACUGACCGGCUAGAGUGAGGUAGGGGUUGCGGGAAUUCCCGGUGUAGCGGUGAAAUGCGUAGAGAUCGGGAAGAACACCUGAGGCGGAAGCGCGCAACUGGGCCUCAACUGACGCUGAGGUACGAAAGCUAGGGGAGAGAAUGGG
rnacentral:rRNA from 1 species